rnacentral:rRNA from 1 species
UACAGAGGUCUCAAGCGUUUGUUCGGAUUCAUUGGGCGUAAAGGGUGCGUAGGCGGCGCGGUAAGUCGGGUGUGAAAUCUUGGAGCUUAACUCCGAAACUGCAUUCGAUACUGCCGUGCUUGAGGACUGGAGAGGAGACUGGAAUUUACGGUGUAGCGGUGGAAAUGCGUAGAUAUCGUAAGGAAGACCAGUGGCGAAGGCGGGUCUCUGGACAGUUCCUGACGCUGAGGCA